rnacentral:rRNA from 1 species
AGUGAACGCUGGCGGUAGGCCUAACACAUGCAAGUCGAACGGCAGCACAGUAAGAGCUUGCUCUUACGGGUGGCGAGUGGCGGACGGGUGAGGAAUACAUCGGAAUCUACUUUUUCGUGGGGGAUAACGUAGGGAAACUUACGCUAAUACCGCAUACGACCUACGGGUGAAAGCAGGGGAUCUUCUGACCUUGCGCGAUUGAAUGAGCCGAUGUCGGAUUAGCUAGUUGGCGGGGUAAAGGCCCACCAAGGCGACGAUCCGUAGCUGGUGUGAGAGGAUGAUCAGCCACACUGGAACUGAGACACGGUCCAGACUCCUACGGGAGGCAGCAGUGGGGAAUAUUGGACAAUGGGCGCAAGCCUGAUCCAGCCAUACCGCGUGGGUGAAGAAGGCCUUCGGGUUGUAAAGCCCUUUUGUUGGGAAAGAAAAGCAGCAGGUUAAUACCCCGCUGUUCUGACGGUACCCAAAGAAUAAGCACCGGCUAACUUCGUG